ACGGAGGAGGGGGCAGCUAUGGUGGGGGAGGGGCAUAUGGCAGGGGUAACUACAAGGGAUAUUAGCCCCGGUCCUCUCCACAGUCGUAUGAGUGUGUGGAGGGCGUGUAUAUUUACAGUACAGUAGCAGCAGGAUGCAAUUUUUGACUCUCAAAAGAUCAACACCACUGCAUAGUCAUCAAGGCUUCCUCCUGCAAGACGCUUAAGAGCUACAUGGUGAAAACUGCAUUACUGUAACCUCCCCCCCCCCGUUCAUUUUGUUUGCUUUGUUAAUUCUUAGUAUCUUUCCCUCUCAUAGAUGCAUAAAACAUAAUCGUCUGCUUCCUGGAAAAAUCCCCAAAGUUACACAAUAAUUGGAGGUUUUUUAUAUAAUAUAUUUUAUGUAGUCAUAUUACAAGACAGCACAUGUGGAAGCUGUGGGUCUAUGGUAUCGAAGUCGGCCCUAAAAUAUGGGGUUGCCCAAGCCUUCAAACUGAGACUACAUGUAUGCACCCAACUAACUUGCUGUGGCUAGGAGUAUUGCACAUGUCUAUGGUAAAAAUACCGAAACCACUUGUCAUGGGCUACUGUAGAAACAUGCAUCAUUUCCAGCCGCAGCCUUUAUAUGUGCACACAGCAAGUUCAGUCUAGGACCACUGGUUAUACCAGCGGUUAAUUUCUGAUGUCCUUGAUGGAUGAAUGCUGAUUUCAAAAUGCUACAGUCAGAAAUCAGCAAGGGUCAAACGCCAUCAACCACUGCUUGUUGGUCUUGGUUUCCCCAGUUGUGCAUUGCGAUAGGGCAGCUUUCGGUAACCAGUGACAAUGCCACCAACGUUGCAUGUUGUGUCUGAGGUAGUCCAACCAUUGUCAGCCAGCAGCUAGUCUGCAUUCGGUCAGAAUUGAUCAGACUUUGGCCAGCCAGUAGUAGUUCUCAAUCAAACUAGCUCUGUGCUGACAUGAAGUGGUAAUGUGCCGCAGGGCCACGUUCAUUGAUACCCCCCCUCCUCUGAAAUGUCACACAGACUGUCCAGUGAGGACAUCAGAAAAUUCAGCAGCCUGUACUAGUGCCUUCAGUUUGAUGAUACUUGGCACGCAAUGGCUAGUCCACUACGCUUUAAAUCACCGAAGUCUUACAAUGGCUAGUCCAUUACGCUUUAGAUCACCGAAGUCUUGCAGAGCAAGGCAAGCUGUCGGCUCACACAGCAUCUUGAGCAGUAGCUCCUUGGGCUCAAAAGUAACCCAACUCUCGUAGAAUAGUGCCCUCAAAGGCUACUGUGUAAAGCGAAAGACGGUAUUGAAAAUGCCACUGUGACAUGCGCUCAUUUGUGUAGGAAGUAGAUGUACAAUUUUGUGGGGUUAAAAAUAAAUUUGUGCCUACUAAAACCCCAAAAUACUAUUUACCGUAGGUAAGUACAGGUCACUUUUGAGUCCAAGAAACUGAGAUAGUCUGAGGAGUCAAAUUGGGUCUUGAAUGCUAACUAGCAGUGGCACCAUAGUAGUCAGUUUGAAAGUGUAAUGAUUCAUUUCAUUGGCUGACAGUUUCUGACAAUAAUGAAUAUUCAUACGCCCAAUGAAUGUUCAUUCUUGCUGCUAUUGUAUCCUGUAAACUUGGUUUUUUCCUAUCAAUUGUAAAUAAUUCAAUCCAAAGAUUCACUUUUGUAUUUUUUGGGUCGAAAGUGGUCAAACUGCUGUACCGAAGAAAAAUUUCGGAUAUCUGAUCAGCACACUGUUGAGCAGAAACCAAAAUUGUGUCAAAUUCUUCCAACCGAACUUUUUUGGUGAACGGAAAAAAAGACUCGUGGCUUUUCCCUUCAUUUUCAUUGCGGUGUACUUUAUUGGAAAAGUAAUUGAUGAGAAAAAUGAAAUGUUUAGUGAUAUACUAUGUACAUGUACUGUGAUUCGCUAUGAUUGGGCGGGGAAAACUGUCGGUUACUGCAAAAAAACAAAAACAAAUUGCAAGAUGUGUCGGCUUUUUUGUCCUUUUUUUGUCACCUGGUUUCUUUUCGUUUUUGAUUAUAGUAAGCGGUGGCAGUGAAUUCUAAUGGUGGAAAGAGGAACACAUUUUGAAUGAGGAAUAUUGUCCAUAAUUUGCUGUUGGCUGCAUCCUCUUGUCACUCAGUGAUUACAAAAACAGUGUAGCUUAAAAUGCUUAAAAUGCACCAAGCACAUCCUUUAAUAGACCAGAUAAGCCGUAGUCAUGUUGACCGGUGCAUUGUACAUAAACAGUGACCAGUUUCCAGCAGGUUGCUUGGCAGGUACAUUUGGUAAGAGGUAGUUGGGUGGCAAGUGGUGAGAUCAAAACACUGGCCCCAUUUUCACAACUCUGAUAGCUUCUCAUAUUGGAAGCAGGUUACCAAGGAAGAUACGAUAGUCUUGGCCCUUGAUCCUCAUAAAUGCUACGAAGAAAAUAACCUUGUUCAGUGGAUUAAACCACUGAGAGGCACUGCGAGACUCGCUUGGUUUAAUUGCCUGUGCUAAGUGUGCCAGGGUGGUGCGACCCAUGUCUAGCAUUUUAACUCUCGAAGAAACAAAAGGGCUUCAAUUUUCUGUAUAACACUGUGCACAUGUGUGGAAUAUAUUUUGCCUAUUAAACACGUCCCGCACAAUUCAGCAUCUCUCCCGUUCAAAUGCAACCUAACCAGUGUCAUGUCUGAGGCCAAUUUAAGUGUUGAUUUUCUCCAGCUGCCGUUGGCAGUACAUGCAUCACUGGAAAACUUUGUUCUUAGCCAUGUAUAUCUUGCCCGACAUUGUGUGUCAACAUGGGACAAUAUUCCUCAUUUGCAUCUCAUAGUCAAAGUAAACAACUCCACAACAGGGUAUCGGCAAAAGUAUCUUACGUGUGCAGCUUUGACACAUGAUUUGGAAAUGGCCGUAUUUAUUCUUACAGCGAAGCAGUGUUGUGUCAUCAUGUUUGCCAAAUACCUGUGCAGAAAAGGUACUUGUAAAGUAGAACAUUACAGCAACGUAACCAUCAGAGAGUUCUCCAGGGCUGGUUUAGCAGGCCCCACUUCAUCCAACAGGCCAUAAAUUAACCAUUUCGAGUGUGGUAGGUACUCACAGUGGACUGGUCCAUUAAGCCCUGCCCCAUUGUUUUCUGACCAAUCAAAGCCACAUCCAACAUGCGUGCACAAAAGUCCGACAAGCAUGAUGUGGCUUUGGAAAAGAGCAUGUGCUAAGUGCCCACCUGCGCAGUGGGCGGGGCUUACUGGUUUGGUCCAUUGCCCGAGCAUAACCCGUCUCCAGCAUUGCUGAAAUGAAGGCUGUUGCAGCAUACUCCAAUCAUGUACUUGUCAGAUCUAUAGAUCAGUCUGUUUUUAAUUUCUGCCCCCAAACUUCAUCGAACCUCAUCCAAGUAAGUUUCAGUGUGUGGCCUUACCUUUAAAAUUUUUGGGCGGAAGACAUUUUGAGGUGGAUACAAAUUUUGCCAGAGGUCUUGUACUAUGCACAAAAGCAUGUGCGCCAGUUGAGCACUAGUCAUGCAGUGUGCUUAUUGGCAUGGAGGGCAUUGCAACAUUUGCAGAUUCUCUGUGGAAGUUACCCUUACCUCCUAGAUCCUUCACAAACCACCAGGAGGUUGAUCUGACGAAUAUGCCCUUUGAAUGUUCAAAUUACGAAGCAUUCUCCAUUGAUUUCUUUUAAAGUGUUUGAUUUUGCUGGAGGAUCUAAGAGAUCCCUACCAAAUAAAAUUAAGAGAGGUGGGUUUUGACCAAAAAAAAGUCGCUUGUCUUGCCUAUAUUCACUUGGAUUAGUGUCAUAAAGCUGUCAAAAAUGGCCGUCUCACAUGAGUGGUUCUCUGCAGACUUUUUGGUUAGCGGCUACUGCCCUUAAGCACUAAUGGUUACAUAUUAAAGAGCACUUUUAAGAGCACAGUAUCAGACGUCUGGCUAGGAAUGAUGAAACAAGCACUGCAUGAGGUGAUUUUUGCAUCCAGAUUGGUCAUGUCAUUAGCCCAGUGUACGUUAUUCUCUUGAAGGCUGUGUUCAAGUCGGCAGUUCACAUCUGUGGCUAGGGAAAGUCCUAGCGCGAGUGCAGUAAUUGUAGUUAUGGGAGCAAUUAAGCCUGAAGGCUCAUUUCGGAUAGGGUUUGGUCUAAGACAUCACUAGUCUGGGGAUGAGUUAAGGAAUUGUGACUCUUCAUUGUCUAGCCCUCCGAAGACCACACAGGGACUUGAGGUGAAAUGCCUUUCACAGUGCCUCCAACUUUCUUCUGACUUGAGUCUCUGUAUCCAUAAAAUUCCAGCAAUUUCUUAUAUUUUUGUUGUCCAAAACAGCCUUUUUAAAAGAACUGUACAAGACAUUGUAAAGAAUGUUGAUUGUGACACAGCUAUGCACUGCCUCCGAGAAAAAGUUCAGAGUUAAACCAGCAUCACCUUGAAGUCACUGUUGUCACAUCUCUGACAAAAAAAAGUAACUUCUUGAAAAAUUGACAUGGCCAAAGUAAAUCACAUCAUUUAGUUCUUACAGAUAUUUUUCUCGGGUUGAAUUCUGAACUUUUUUCCUCAUUGUGAUUUUCAUACUCAAAUAGUAGAAUGCCUGUUAGCCUGUUGUCAUUCUGUUGUACACUGUUUCAACACAUCACACAAUCGUAAGUAGUUGUUGCUAUAAUUCUACUCUAUAGCAAACUCUCUUGCCAUUUGCCAAUAUUUUUUUCCUGGUUUAAGAACUUUUUAGCGGGAAAAAGGAUUGAUGUUUAUGUACAGAAGUCCAAAUUCACUGCAAAACCCCCUUUUUUGUUAUAUGUAUAUGUACUAGUCAUGCAUAGAUAUAUUUUUCGGACAGUCAUUUUUGUAGCUCUUUAAAUGUUCAUUAUUUGGUUGAACUCUUUUGUAAGUAUUACACAGUUCCGUUUUCGUGACGUUCUAGUUCAGUGAUGUCAAUAAAUUGCAAAAGACCCAAAA